rnacentral:rRNA from 1 species
GGCUUUGAAGCGGUGACGCCAGUCAUCGUGGAGCCUCCCUUGAGAUACCACCCUUCGCACUCUUGAUGUCUAACCGCGGUCCGUUAUCCGGAUCCGGGACCCUGCGUGGCGGGUAGUUUGACUGGGGCGGUCGCCUCCCAAAGAGUAACGGAGGCGCGCGAUGGUAGGCUCAAGCUGGUCGGAAAUCAGCUGUUGAGUGCAAUGGCAUAAGCCUGCCUGACUGCGAGACUGACGAGUCGAGCAGAGACGAAAGUCGGUCAUAGUGAUCCGGUGGUCCCUCGUGGAAGGGCCAUCGCUCAACGGAUAAAAGGUACGCCGGGG